rnacentral:rRNA from 1 species
GGUAACUGACGCUGAGGCACGAAAGCGUGGGGAGCAAACAGGAGUAGAUACCCUGGUAGUCCACGCUGUAAACGAUGAGUACUAGGUGUCGGGGGUUACCCCCUGCGGUGCCGCAGCUAACGCAUUAAGUACUCCGCCUGGGAAGUACGCUCGCAAGAGUGAAACUCAAAG